AUGAAAUACUUCAAGUGGAGGAUGUGCUGGCAUUAUGCAUGUGCACUCCAACACUUUAUCCAUCAUCCCUGUGCACUAUAGACCUUGAUUAGACCCGCCCGUAAUGCUCGGGCAGCCGAGUCAGGCCCAGGUCAGGCUCUGGGUUCUAGUAAGGUAUUUUACAAACGCAAUGUAAUAGAACAAAAAGUUGAUGCUAUAUGCAUAUAAAUA
rnacentral:misc_RNA from 1 species